rnacentral:misc_RNA from 1 species
CAGAGUUAUCCAACUCCCAAACCCAUGUGAACUUAUCUCUUUGUUGCCUCGGCGCAAGCUACCCGGGACCUCGCGCCCCGGGCGGCCCGCCGGCGGACAAACCAAAACCCUUGUUAUCUUAGUUGAUUAUCUGAGUGUCUUAUUUAAUAAGUCA